ensembl:lncRNA
AGAGAGGGAAAGUGGAUUUUUUUUUACACGAGUGGCAAAGGCAAACCCCGAAGAACAAAGGAUUUAGUUUGACGCUGUCCUGGUGCUGGAGCACCCCUCCACCUUUCAGAAGAGGCAGCGGUGGACAGUGAUGGGGCCUGGUGGGUGACUGGCCGGCCCUUGAAGCAGUCCUCCAGUAAGGCUAGGUGAUGGUACUGCUGGUGGUGCGGGGGCCAGCGGGCUACCGGGGUCUGUCCAUACCAACAAAUGCUUACGUUCUCUUCUCGCCCCCCCCCCACCUCUUGGACUACCGUGGGGGGGCACUGGAAGGAGCAGCGUGUGGAUCUGGAUGGGUCUGCAUAUGUCCAUGUGUGAAUGCCCCCCCUCUCACUGCGGAGGACCAGAGGCCCAGGCUAGGGUCCACUGAGAGGUUUGGCAGAGGCAUUGCUGAAAACCGAAGAAGAAUUCCCAAUGUAUUCUCUUAGGUCUUACUACCCCCGUUAUGCCGAGGAGCUUUUGUUUGGGCAGAUAAUAGGUUCUCUUCUGAAGGCAUUAUUAUAAAUGUGUAUUUCUCUGUCUCGAGCUGGAGACGUGCUGAUGGAGGGGAAGCAUGGUGAGGGAGAGAGGGACUUAUCUAAUGUCUAGAGGAAGCAUGCACUAGUCGUCUGUUCACGCACACCAUUCCGUUGAUGUCAUUGCUCCAGUGGACACUUUCCGUUACCUGAUUUGAUGGCGACGGAUGAUUUGUGUGUCCGGUUAAAUGUGUUUGGAUUGUUGAUCUUAACAUCUGAGAGAGAAACAGAUUGCUGUCAGCUAAACCAUUAGUGGAGGCUUUUUGAUGGGAGCACGUUGUAUUUAUUAGUCCGAGAAGCAGAGUCCGUCGAGCUGCGUGUUUUUUGUAGCAGAUGUCGCAUAUACAUUUUGUGGAUUAUGUCGUUGUUCUCGACAUCGCCGGACAUCGUCAUCCUACUUAGGAGCGAGGUUUGGGGACAAAAGAUAGCAACGUGAGUACAGACCGAGUGAUGUGCUGAUGCUGCUGCUGAUAGAUGUGUCUCUCCCUGUCCCUGAGACCCUAACUUGUGACGUUGUGCUGUCAUGUCCACGGGUUAGCUUCUCGGGAGCUGAGAGGGAUUCAAGGGCGUCUCUGUGACUCUGGCCGACCGCCACCCUGCUAACUACGACAUCAAACGUUUGACUGUUGGCUGCUCCUGAUCUUUCUUGUCUCCCCGCAUUGAAGCUCGACUCCGAGCAGUUGUGCAUGCGUGUGUAUUUUGCCGGUGAGCGGAUGGAUUUAUUUAGGAAUGGACAACAUACAAGAUGUAUGCUACUAGUGUGCGCCUGGCACCACGGUUAGCUGUAGUGCUCCUGGUAGAGCGAGUGGUAGUGAUACUGCACUGUGUCUGGGAGGAGGGCUUCAGCCUCAACGAGGAAGGAUCUGGGGCGUCUUAUUCUGAUUGUUCCCUACCGGGAUUAGGUGAUAGAUAGGUGUUCACUGCGUUGCACUUGUUGUAUUCUACCAAUUUUGAGGGCGGAACAAAGUACCUUCGAGUGUGAACCUGACAACUUGGUACAUUUGUUGCUGACCUCAUGGAACUGUCGACGAUAUGAGUGCUCAUCUGCACCCUGGGCACUGCGUGGCUUUAAACUUCCUCACAAGUGGCCCUCAGUGGGCAUACUGGGUCCUAGAGGUGCGGCCCGAGAUACACAACAUUGUCGGAAAUAGGUCAAUGUUUCCACGGUUUCCACUGUUGAACUAUUGGGGCUCUUGUGAUGUUGUCGGUGAGAGGUGUGUGAGUUCUGUUGGAAUGGCCACCUUGAGCUCCUUGUUUUUUCAGGAUGAUUUUAGUGUUUUGGAGAAUGUAAGAGCCAGGUGAAUAAAACGUUUGAGCACUAAAGUAAUGCAACAAAAUGUUUUGACAUCGAUUUGACAAAAUCUAUUUCCCUAUCACUAUUUCCCAUGUUAACGAGUAACAGUAUUUGAUUUGGUACAAUUCAUUCAUAUCGUACAUUACAUAAGCAAGCUUACCUGAUCUUAUGGGUCAUGGGUCCAGAAAUGAGUUGUGUCCGGUGCAGUAUGUUGGUCUACCACUCGAUGAUCACCUGGUCAACAAAAAAUCGAAGGAUUUUCAAUCAUAUUUCGAUGCAUUUUCAAUCAUAUUUCCCGGUCAACUAUAUAUCAUUGUAUUUUCAAUCAUACAUCCCGGUCAACUAUAUGUCAACAACGGUUGUUUCCCAGUCAACUCUAUAUCAAUGACUUUCCAACACAUUGGCAAUAUCACCCGGUAACCCAAAAAUCAAUGCUUAUUCAAUCAUAAAGAUAACAAUGGAUCAAUGUUGUUCAAAUGUUGUUGCCAUCAACAUUAAUAACAUCAGGUUUCAUCGAUAUGGUAAUGGUGAUUCAACAUUUAUUUUGCAUUGAAAUUUCAAUAUCAACCAUAAUGAUUAUUCAGACGGAAAAUCAAUAUUUAUUCAAUGUUGGCUUUCUGUCUGGUAUACUUCUCUUUGUUGCAAUUUAUCUUUCCCGGGAGCCACAUCUUCUUUUUGGGCUUCAUGGCAAUUCACAGAUAUUUGGUGAUUUUUGGGAUUAGUUUGAGUUGGGGCUGGACAGGAUAUUAAUCUGGUGAUUGAGAUUACAUCGUCUGGGAUUAAGGUUGUCAUCAUAUUGUGAUAAUGCAUGCAUGUUGUCUUUUAGAGGAUUCAUGACAGUAAAACGAUCUGAUUUCCUGUCCAUUAUAGGCUGAGUUUGAACUGAGCAAAAUGAGCAGUCAUGCAAUCCUGCAUCAGGAUGCGACAUAUUACUCAUAAUUGGUUAUUAAAAUCACGAAGCAGUCACAUUGUCAACGUCAACGUCAAAGUUGUGCUAUUGAAUUUAGUCAAUAGUUUCCUUGUCAUUACCUACCAGAUGUCUAGUGAGUAAUGCAGGGCCUAUGGAUCGCACUGAAAUCACCAUUACUUCCUCCAUGAAAUGGGAUGCUUUUUUCUGAGGGAAACGUCUGGAUCUCAAAGAGUCCAUCUGUGUGUUCUGCUGGAAUGUCUGGCACCCCAAUCCAGUGCUGCGUGCCAGUGCAUGUGGGUCGGGGCCCGCGGAGGGCGGCUUUUGUUCUGUUGAUGAAACAGACAGGAGAACAGCUUUUUGAUGAAUAUUCAUUUUGUUCUACUGAUGAAACAGACAGGAGAACAGUUUUCUGGUGGAUAUUUAUUUUGGACUACUGAUAACAGACAGGAGAACAGCUUUCUGAAUGACAUUUCUUUGCCAUUAGGCUGUUUCUGUAUGUUCAAAAAGUGUGUGUCAGUUACUACUGAGUACCCAGGCUUGUCGCAGGCCCUACAGACAGAGAGGCGGGACUAGUCCUCUGUAAAGAGAGAGGCGGGACUAGUCCUCUGUAAAGAGAGAGGCGGGACUAGUCCUCUGUAAAGAGAGAGGCGGGACUAGUCCUCUGUAAAGAGAGAGGCGGGACUAGUCCUCUGUAAAGAGAGAGGUGGGACUAGUCCUCUGUAAAGAGAGAGGUGGGACUAGUCCUCUGUAAAGAGAGAGGUGGGACUAGUCCUCUGUAAAGAGAGAGGCGGGACUAGUCCUCUGUUAAGAGAGAGGUGGGACUAGUCCUCUGUAAAGAGAGAGGUGGGACUAGUCCUCUGUUAAGAGAGAGGCGGGACUAGUCCUCUGUAAAGAGAGAGGUGGGACUAGUCCUCUGUAAAGAGAGAGGUGGGACUAGUCUGUCUCUUUAUUAGUCCUCUGUGUGAGAGAAGAACACUAAAGCUCCCCAUAAUCUCUACUGACUGCUCCACAGAGAAACAACAUCACUAAUGCUACAUGCUUUAUGCUAUGCUAUGCUUUAAUAUUGCCAGUUCAAUUUAAUCUUAAUUCCUAUAGCUAUGAUAUGAACAUCUAAUCUGCUUCUAACAGCAUUCACUAUAUAUAUUACAGACUCAUUCUCUCAUUGGAAACCCUUGCAAAGCCUUUUACUGAGUUAGCAAGGAAGCUAAUGAGUUAAGCGCCCUACAUAUUGUAGGGUGAAUAUAGGUUAGUGAGCUGUCUCCGUCGCCCAGACUGCAGGCCCUUCUCUCUCUCUCUCUCUCUCUCUCUCUCUCUCUCUCUCUCUCUCUCUCUCUCUCUCUCUCUCUCUCUCUC